AGUGAACGCUGGCGGUAGGCCUAACACAUGCAAGUCGAACGGCAGCACAGUAAGAGCUUGCUCUUACGGGUGGCGAGUGGCGGACGGGUGAGGAAUACAUCGGAAUCUACUUUUUCGUGGGGGAUAACGUAGGGAAACUUACGCUAAUACCGCAUACGACCUACGGGUGAAAGCAGGGGAUCUUCGGACCUUGCGCGAUUGAAUGAGCCGAUGUCGGAUUAGCUAGUUGGCGGGGUAAAGGCCCACCAAGGCGACGAUCCGUAGCUGGUCUGAGAGGAUGGUCAGCCACACUGGAGCUGGGACACGGUCCAGACUCCUGCGGGAGGCAGCAGUGGGGAAUAUUGGACAAUGGGCGCAAGCCUGAUCCAGCCAUACCGCGUGGGUGAAGAAGGCCUUCGGGUUGUAAAGCCCUUUUGUUGGGAAAGAAAAGCAGCAGGUUAAUACCCCGCUGUUCUGACGGUACCCAAAGAAUAAGCACCGGCUAACUUCGUG
rnacentral:rRNA from 1 species